rnacentral:rRNA from 1 species
CCUACGGGAGGCAGCAGUGAGGAAUAUUGGUCAAUGGGCGCGAGCCUGAACCAGCCAAGUAGCGUGAAGGAUGACUGCCCUACGGGUUGUAAACUUCUUUUAUAAAGGAAUAAAGUGAGGCACGUGUGCCUUUUUGUAUGUACUUUAUGAAUAAGGAUCGGCUAACUCCGUGCCAGCAGCCGCGGUAAUACGGAGGAUCCGAGCGUUGUCCGGAUUUAUUGGGUUUAAAGGGUGCGUAGGUGGGUUGGUAAGUCAGUUGUGAAAGUUGGGGGCUCAACCCGCGAAAUGCAAGUGAUACUGUGAGACGAGAGUACAGGAGAGGUAGCCGGAAUUCGUGGUGUAGCAGUGAAAUGCGUAGAUAUCGCGAAGAACAC